CCGCUAUUGGAGUUCGAUUAAGCCAUGCGAGUCGAGAGUCCUCGGGACUCGGCGUACCGCUCAGUAACACGUGGGUAACCUGCCCUAUGCUGGGGAAUAACCUCGGGAAACUGAGAAUAAUGCCCCAUAGCCCACUACGCCUGGAACGGUGAGUGGGUCAAAGCUCCGGCGGCAUAGGAUGGGCCUGCGCCGUAUCAGGUUGUAGGGGGUGUAAAGUACCCUCUAGCCAUCAACGCGUACGGGUGUUGGGAGACAUUGCCCGGAGAUGGAUUCUGAGACACGAAUCCAGACCCUACGGGGUGCAGCAGGCGCGAAAACUUGGCAAUGCGAGCAAUCGUGACCAGGGAACUCCAAGUGCGUAGGGUAAGACCUACGCUUUUCUUGACUCUUCAAAGGUCUUGGAAUAAGGGGUGGGUAAGGACGGUGCCAGCCGCCGCGGUAAUACCGGCGCCUCAAGUGGUAGUCGCUUUUAUUGGGCCUAAAACGUCCGUAGCCGGUCUGGUGCAUUCGUGGGUAAAUCAACCCGCUCAACGGGUUGAAUUCUGCGAGCACGGCCAGACUUGGGACCGGGAGAGGUGUGGGGUACUCUCAGGGUAGGGGUAAAAUCCUGUCAUCCUGAGAGGACCACCUGUUGCGAAGGCGCCACACUAGAACGGAUCCGACGGUCAGGGACGAAACCUAGGGGCACGAACCGGAUUAGAUACCCGGGUAGUCCUAGGUGUAUACGCUGUGGACUUGAUGUUGGGGGCGCUCCGAGCGCUCUCAGUGUCGAAGCGAAGGUGAUAAGUCCACUGCCUGGGGAGUACGGUCGCAAGGCUGAAACUUAAAGGAAUUGGCGGGGGAGCACUGCAACCUGAGGAUUGUGCGG
rnacentral:rRNA from 1 species